GAUGAACGCUAGCUGCAGGCUUAACACAUGCAAGUCGCGGGGCAGCAUGGGGGUUGCUUGCAACUCCCGAUGGCGACCGGCGCACGGGUGAGUAACGCGUAUCCAACCUGCCCUUCACCACGGGAUAACCCGGCGAAAUUCGGACUAAUACCGUAUGUUGUCCAUUCACGUCAUCCGAACUCGACGGAAGGCUUUUCGGUGAGCGAUGGGGUUGCUUCCGAUUAGCCUGACGGCGGGGUAACGGCCCACCGUGUCUACGGUCGGUAGGGGUUCUGCGAGGAAGGUCCCCCACACUGGAACUGAGACACGGUCCAGACUCCUACGGGAGGCAGCAGUGAGGAAUAUUGGUCAAUGGGCGUAAGCCUGAACCAGCCAAGUAGCGUGCAGGAUGACGGCCCUAUGGGUUGUAAACUGCUUUUAUGCGGGGAUAAAGUGGCCCACGUGUGGGCUUUUGCAGGUACCGCAUGAAUAAGGACCGGCUAAUUCCGUG
rnacentral:rRNA from 1 species